CAGGAGUUGAAUACAUGAGAGAAGUUGUGCCUUGAGCAUAGAGAGGUCUGUUAGAGAGAUCUUGGCAAUCACCAGCCACAUGAAGUUCAACACCCAGAAUGGGUCAACCCUAUCUAUAUAUAUAGUAUGAGACACCUAAGAGAAUGAUGUGGAGCUGCAUCAGAGGAGGUCACGUUGAGGACUGGAAGAAGAUUCUUCACCAGUAAGUAGCGAGGCCCUGGAACAGGCUCCUCAGGGCAGUGGGCAUGGCCCCCUACUGGCCGGAGUUCAAGGAGAGUUCAGACAGCAGUCAGACAUAGGGUUUGGAUUUCGGGUGGUGCUGUGUGGACCUGGGAAUGGGACGUGAUGAUCUCUGUGGGUCCUUCUCAACUUAGGAUUGAUUCUACAAUAACCUUGCUACCUGCACGUGCUAGGCACCCUGGAUUGCCCUAAGCCUCUCUGCUUCUGGCAGUAGCUGCUGGCCCGGGGCAUCCCAGCUUUCCUUCUCGCAUGUAUGGACAGGAGGCAGAAAGGGAUAAGGGAGAGCAGCCCUUCCUGCUGGCUCCCCACCUCUCCAUCCACCUCCAGUAGGAAUCCUCUUCCACUUCAGUACCUCUUGUCCUUUGAAUGGGCUUGACCCGAACAGUAAUCAGCAACAAAAAGUGCACCUAAAGUGAACUGUGAUCAGUGGGAAGUAACUGAAUGAAAUAUUUUCAUACAGAGGUCAUCAUUUUCUUGUGGAAAAUGGUGUAAGUAUAUAAUUACUUCAAAGUAGGCAUGUCUAGCCUGCAAGUUGCAUGUGGCC
rnacentral:lncRNA from 1 species